rnacentral:rRNA from 1 species
GAUGAACGCUGGCGGCGUGCCUAAUACAUGCCAGUCGAGCGAACGGACGAGAAGCUUGCUUCUCUGAUGUUAGCGGCGGACGGGUGAGUAACACGUGGAUAACCUACCUAUAAGACUGGGAUAACUUCGGGAAACCGGAGCUAAUACCGGAUGAUAUUUUGAACCGCAUGGUUCAAAAGUGAAAGACGGUCUUGCUGUCACUUAUAGAUGGAUCCGCGCUGCAUUAGCUAGUUGGUAAGGUAACGGCUUACCAAGGCAACGAUGCAUAGCCGACCUGAGAGGGGGUUCGGCCACACUGGAACGGGGACACGGUCCAAACUCCUAGGGGAGGCAGGAGUAGGGAAUCUUCCGCAAUGGGCGAAAGCCUGAGGGAGCAACGCCGGGGGAGUGAGGAAGGUUUUGGGAUCGUAAAACUCUUUUAUUGGGGAAAAAAAAAUGGUUAAGUAACUGUGCACAUCUUGACGGUACCUAAUAAAAAAGCCCCGGCUAACUACUG